rnacentral:rRNA from 1 species
GAUGAACGCUGGCGGCGUGCUUAACACAUGCAAGUCGAACGGGAAUUACUUUAUUGAAACUUCGGUCGAUUUAAUUUAAUUCUAGUGGCGGACGGGUGAGUAACGCGUGGGUAACCUGCCUUAUACAGGGGGAUAACAGUCAGAAAUGGCUGCUAAUACCGCAUAAGCGCACAGAGCUGCAUGGCUCAGUGUGAAAAACUCCGGUGGUAUAAGAUGGACCCGCGUUGGAUUAGCUUGUUGGUGGGGUAACGGCCUACCAAGGCGACGAUCCAUAGCCGGCCUGAGAGGGUGAACGGCCACAUUGGGACUGAGACACGGCCCAGACUCCUACGGGAGGCAGCAGUGGGGAAUAUUGCACAAUGGGGGAAACCCUGAUGCAGCGACGCCGCGUGAAGGAAGAAGUAUCUCGGUAUGUAAACUUCUAUCAGCAGGGAAGAUAGUGACGGUACCUGACUAAGAAGCCCCGGCUAACUACGUGCCAGCAGCCGCGGUAAUACGUAGGGGGCAAGCGUUAUCCGGAUUUACUGGGUGUAAAGGGAGCGUAGACGGCGUGGCAAGUCUGAUGUGAAAGGCAUGGGCUCAACCUGUGGACUGCAUUGGAAACUGUCAUGCUUGAGUGCCGGAGGGGUAAGCGGAAUUCCUAGUGUAGCGGUGAAAUGCGUAGAUAUUAGGAGGAACACCAGUGGCGAAGGCGGCUUA